rnacentral:rRNA from 1 species
UUGAACGCUGGCGGCAUGCUUUACACAUGCAAGUCGAACGGCAGCGGGGGCUUCGGCCCGCCGGCGAGUGGCGAACGGGUGAGUAAUGCAUCGGAACGUACCCAGUCGUGGGGGAUAACUACGCGAAAGCGUAGCUAAUACCGCAUACGCCCUGAGGGGGAAAGCGGGGGACCUUCGGGCCUCGCGCGAUCGGAGCGGCCGAUGUCAGAUUAGGUAGUUGGUGGGGUAAAGGCUCACCAAGCCGACGAUCUGUAGCUGGUCUGAGAGGACGACCAGCCACACUGGGACUGAGACACGGCCCAGACUCCUACGGGAGGCAGCAGUGGGGAAUUUUGGACAAUGGGGGAAACCCUGAUCCAGCCAUUCCGCGUGAGUGAAGAAGGCCUGCGGGUUGUAAAGCUCGUUCAGGAGGGAAGAAACGGGUGCGGCUAAUACCCGCGACGAAUGACGGUACCUUCAGAAGAAGCACCGGCUAACUACGU